UGGGGAAUAUUGCACAAUGGAGGGAACUCUGAUGCAGCGACGCCGCGUGAGUGAUGAAGGAAUUCGUUUCGUAAAACUCUGUUCUAUGGGAAGAAAAGGACUGUACCAUAGGAGAAAGCUCCGGCUAAAUACGUGCCAGCAGCCGCGGUAAUACGUAUGGAGCGAGCGUUGUCCGGAAUUAUUGGGCGUAAAGGGUGCGCAGGCGGCUUUACAAGUUGGAUGUGAAAUAUUGUGGCUCAACCACAAACGUGCAUCCAAAACUGCAAAGCUUGAGUUAAGGAGAGGUAAGUGGAAUUCCUGGUGUAGCGGUGGAAUGCGGAGAUAACAGGAGGAAUAACGGUGGCGAAGGCGACUUACUGGACUUAAACUGACGCUCAGGCACGAAAGCGUGGGGAGCAAACAGG
rnacentral:rRNA from 1 species